GAUUACGGUGGCGGCCUAAGCCC
rnacentral:snRNA from 1 species